GAUGAACGCUAGCUACAGGCUUAACACAUGCAAGUCGGGGGGUAACGAGAGGAAAGCUUGCUUUCCUUGUCGACGACCGGCGCACGGGUGAGUAACGCGUAUCCAACCUGCCCCCAACUAGGGAAUAACCUUGCGAAAGUAAGACUAAUACCCUAUAAUUUCCUCAGAUGUCAUCUGACGAGGAAUAAAGAUUUAACGGUUGUGGAUGGGGAUGCGUCUGAUUAGCUUGUUGGCGGGGUAACGGCCCACCAAGGCAACGAUCAGUAGGGGUUCUGAGAGGAAGGUCCCCCACAUUGGAACUGAGACACGGUCCAAACUCCUACGGGAGGCAGCAGUGAGGAAUAUUGGUCAAUGGGCGGAAGCCUGAACCAGCCAAGUAGCGUGCAGGAUGACGGCCCUAUGGGUUGUAAACUGCUUUUAUACAGGAAUAAAGUUAGCCACGUGUGGUUAUUUGUAGGUACUGUAUGAAUAAGGACCGGCUAAUUCCGUGCCAGCCGCCGCAGUAA
rnacentral:rRNA from 1 species